GAUUGGAGGAGGCGCAGCUGCUGCGGCUGCUGGGGGCGGAGCUUCGGCUGAGGGGCGGAGCCAAGGUCACGUGGGAGGAAACCCUGCGGGCGCUCAGCCCAGCCAAGAUGGCUGCCGAGAUGUGGGGGCUGCUCAGGGACCUGCGCUGGCUGCUGGAAGCAUGCGGCGCCCCAUUGGACGCUCCCGGUUCCCGCCUUUACCUUGCCGGCUCCCGAUUGGCUGAAGCCGUUCGGACCUUCUUGGGGGCGGGGCUAAAGGGACGCCCCACCCGUGGUGGCCACGCCCCUUCCGGCGGACGUGACGUCAUGGCGACGGCGAGGAUGCUAUUGGCUGGUGAGAGAGGGGGGGCGGGGCCAAGAGGACACCAUGGGGCUCUAUGGGAAUCUAUGGGGCUCUAUGGGGAUCUAUGGGGUCAGUGGGGCACUAUGGGGUACUAUGGGGCUCUAUGGGUCUCUAUGCGGUUCUAUGGGGUUUCUGUGGGGCUCUAUGGGGUCUCUAUGGGGCUCUAUGGGUUUCUAUGGGGUUUCUAUGGGGAUCUAUGGGUCUCAAUGGGGCUCUAUGGGGCUCUAUGGGGUUCUGUGGGGUUCUAUGGGGUCAGUGGGGCUCUAUGGGGUCUCUAUGGGGUUCUGUGGGGUUCUGUGGGGUCAGUGGGGCUUUAUGGGGUCUCUAUGGGUCUCUAUGGGGUCUCUAUGAGGAUCUAUGGGGCUCUAUUGGGUUUUUAUGGGGCUCUUUGGGGUUUCUAGCGAUCUCUAUGGGACUUUAUGGGGUCUCUAUGGGUCCCUACAGGGCUCUAUAGAUCUCUAUAGGGUUUUAUGGGGUCUCUAUGGGGAUCUGUGGGGUCCCCAUGGGGAUCUAUUGGUCUCUAUGGGGCUGGUAUGGGGUUCUAUGGGGCUCUAUGGGGUUCUAUGGAUCUCUAUGGGCUCUAUGGGGUCUCUAUGGGGUUCUAUGGUGUUUCUAAGGGGCUCUAUGGGGCUCUAUGGGGCUCUGUGGGGUCUCUAUGGGGCUCUAUGGGGUCUUUAUAGGGUUUCUAUGGGAUCAGUGGGGCUUUAUGGGGUUCUAUGGGGCUCUAUGGGUCUUAUGGGGUUCUAUGGGAAUCUAUGGGGUUCUAUGGGGCUCUAUGGGGUUCUAUAGGGUUUCUAUGGGGUUCUGUGGGGUUCUAUGGGGUCAGUGGGGCUUUAUGGGGUCUCUAUGGGUCUCUAUGGUGCUCUAUGGGUCUCUGUGGGUCCCUAUGGGGUCCCUAUGGGGUUACUAUGGGUCCCUAUGGGACUCUAUGGGUCUCUAUGGGGUUCUAUAGGGUUCUGUGGGGCUCGAUGGGGCUCUAUGGGGUUCUAUGGGGUCAGUGGGGCUUUAUGGGGUCUCUGUGGGGCUCUAUGGGGCUCUGUGGGGUUCUGUGGGGUCUCUGUGGGGCUCUAUGGUGUCUCUAUAGGGUUUCUAUGGGGUCAGUGGGGCUUUAUGGGGUUCUAUGGGUCUCUGUGGGUCUCUAUGGGGACCUAUGGGGUUCUAUGGAUCUCUAU
rnacentral:lncRNA from 1 species